rnacentral:rRNA from 1 species
AUUGAACGCUGGCGGAAUGCUUUACACAUGCAAGUCGAACGGCAGCACGGGGGCAACCCUGGUGGCGAGUGGCGAACGGGUGAGUAAUACAUCGGAACGUGCCCAGUCGUGGGGGAUAACGUAGCGAAAGUUACGCUAAUACCGCAUACGAUCUACGGAUGAAAGCGGGGGACCGUAAGGCCUCGCGCGAUUGGAGCGGCCGAUGUCAGAUUAGGUAGUUGGUGAGGUAAAGGCUCACCAAGCCGACGAUCUGUAGCGGGUCUGAGAGGACGACCAGCCAAACUGGGACUGAGACACGGCCCAGACUCCUACGGGAGGCAGCAGUGGGGAAUUUGGGACAAUGGGCGCAAGCCUGAUCCAGCCAUUCCGCGUGCAGGACGAAGGCCUUCGGGUUGUAAACUGCUUUUGUACGGAACGAAAAGGCUCUGGUUAAUACCUGGGGCUCAUGACGGUACCGUAAGAAUAAGCACCGGCUAACUACGUGCCAGCCGCCGCGGUAA